UGUCCUGGGAGGGGGGGCUCUGGGCACCCAUCUCUGUGAUGAGCUCCCUCUUGGAGUCGUGGGGUGCUUACUUAUAAAACAGAGGUGUUACUAUUUGGCCCUCCAUCCUGCCUCCUCUUGUGGCUCCCGGAGAUGACAUAAGCCACUGAUUUGACACUCAGAGCAGACCUGCGCCAGGGAACUUGGGGACCCUUUUUCUUAGCAGAAUGAACCUCUUUCCUCCGUGUUCCACUUUUGAUCACCAUGUGGCCUGGUCUGUCACUUUCUGGCUUGUCCCCAUCGUUUAGGGGAGCUCAUUCAGGGCAGGGCUGCCCCCUGCCUGUGGCUGCCUCCCCUGUGCCUGGCAUACACCCUGGACAAGGGACGUGGAGGUGACCGGUCCUUAAUGCUGCCCAGUGAAGGCUGCAGUGGGCAAUGAACUCCACCUCUUACAGGGAGUAGAUCCAGGAGCAAGGGAGGCGGGACACCUGUGUGAUCCUUUACAGAUAGGAAAGAUGGGGUUCAGAGAUCCAGUGACUUUCCCAAAGCCACUGAGCUUUCAGUCUAGACCUGCCCAGGUCCGUCCCAGCCUCAGGGGUCUAAUGCAGUGGGGGGGUGGGGAGGGUGAGCAGCGCCCGAAAACCCGGAGUGCAAAGGAUCAGGUAAGACAGGGAAAAUCAGGUGGGUGACACUGCUGAGACACCACACUGACACCUGUCCUGCCUUUUCUUCCUUGUGGUGACCCUUGGAGACCUGAAGGUGGCCCCAGCGCCCCAUGAGCCUUCCUACCUCUCAGCACUGAGAUCUGGAAACCAGUUUUCCAAGCCCCUCGACAUCCUCCCUCUGGGUCACCCCCUUCUGGGAGGCACUUGAUAGCAUUUUAUACGGCUAUGCCUGGAUGAUGCCACUCAGUGGUGGUGAGCAGUUCUCCUGUUGCCCCAGGCUCAGGGCUUCAGCGCCUCCGCACCUCAUUCCCCCCACAAUCAUCCUGACGGCCAGGACGCCUCAUCGUGUUCCAUUUCGAAGACGAGGAAACUGAAACACAGAGCGAUGAAAUGACUUGCCUGAGGUCCCACGUCCAGGAAAUGGCAGAGCUGGGUUUUGAACCCAGGCACUUUUGGAGCCGGCACUGAUCGGCGGCAGUGAGCUACAGCCUUGCACUUCACAGAGGGCUGCCUGUCGCUGCCCUCCUGCGGCCAAGUUGGGCAGAUGACCUGGGUGCACCUGUGGGCCUCCUUGGGCAGGGGCCUUCCUGGGUUUCCCUGGAGACGCCGUGGAGUGGAGCAUACAAGGCAGCGACAGCAGAGGGAGGAGACAGGGCCGGGUGGGGGUCUGGACAGGAGCCCUCAGCUGGAGGGCAGGCCUACAGCACCCAACCUGGUUCAGGGGCCAGUGGGGAGCUGGCCUCUGUGAUGUCAGCUGCCACUCUCCAGCCCAGUGGGGCCAGCCUCCUGACUCUCAGGCCACAGCGGGUUUUGCACAGUCCAUGGUGGAGCCCAGCCAUGAACUUUCCCCAGCUGGGCAGCCACAGCCGGCUGCAGUCUGGCAGAGUUGGAGGAGUGGAGAUAGGCCGGAGACAGGGCUGUUUGACUUUGGAAUUAAAUGCACCGAAGCAAUGGACGUAAUCAGCAACUCUGGCGCUCUUAUGCCACUUAAUUUCUCUCGCUUUUUGAGAAACUUUGGGAGACUUGGAUGAGACUGGCCUUGGCAAGACCUGGGCUAGACCACAUGAAGCCAGAGGAAGGACGACGAAGCCUGGGGGAACUGGCCGAGGACCAACACAGACCACUCCUGCCUCCCACCCGCCAGGCCCAGAAGGCCCGGAGCCCUGGACAGGUGAGGGUGGUCUGGGCAGCAGGUGUUUUGUGGCUUUUGGCUACUUACCAGAAGUAAAUCACUUCGUUUCCCCGUUUCCUCCCCUCCACCAAGAUUUGUUGACAUCCUCUAAUUUACUUGGGGCAUUUUGUUCUGUAACUGGAGAAGGAAAGGGACUGUCUGCUGGGAGCAUUUCCAAGAAGAGAAGGAGUAAGGAGGGAACGGUGCCCUCUUCCCCGGCCCCUCGGCCUGCAUUCAAGGCCAGUGGAGCUGGUAAGGCCUGGCAACAUCUGGGCUCAGUGACCCACGGGGAUCUUAUGAGGAAGAAAUGGGUCAUAUGUAGCUGAGGGACCAGUCCAGCAUCUGGCCUGAGAACUUUCUCUACAGGUGCUGUGGGCUCCCAGGCCUGCUGUCCGGGGAAGAGCCAGGAGCCAUCCUCUCUGAGCUCGCUGCCUUGUCAGAGUCACUGGUGACACGGGGGAAAUUGAGGACCACAGCGGUACGUCUUAAAUCAAAGCCCGGGCCAUCAAUCUCCCAGAACAGACUGAAAUCACAAGGUGGGUGGCCCGGACUGCCGCUGGAUGGACAGGCAAGCGAUAUUAAAAAACUGGAAUCUUGA